CCAAGAGAUCCCAGCAGCUUUGGCCAGGGUGACUCCUGUACUGGAAAUAUAAGAGGAAACCAAAUAGCCAAUCUGCCAGGAAUAUCUGACAGACCCAGUGACCAUAGACUGUGGGCACAACCUCUGUUGAGGCUGCAUCACUCAGUACUUGGAGAAACGGGCAGGUGGGGCAUAUGACCCCUUGUGCUGCCCCAGCUGCAGAGCCCGGAUUUGGAAAGGGACUCUCUGAAAUAACUAUCAGCUAACAAAUAUAGUGGAAAAAAUCAAACCACUGGAAUUCAAACCAGGAAAAGAGAAUCUGUGUGAGAGACACGACGAAGGCCUGGAUCUGUUCUGUGAAGAGGCCGGGGACGCCGUUGCUAGAGAUCCCCGGAGCACAGAUAUCACACGGUGCUUCUCCUGGACGAGGCUGCCCAGGAAAAUAAGGACAUCAGAAGCACCUUGAGCAGGUGUGAGAAGGGGAAGUUCCAGCAGCCAGAGGAGAUUUCUCCUGAACUGGAAAAGAGACUCAGCGAUUUCUCCCAGAAACCUGUUGCUCCAAUGGCGACUCCGAGGGAAUCCGAAGACACACUGUCCUCUGAACUGGAGACCCAAACUUGGGAAUCCCUAGGAGCACACACACAGGAGAAUGUGACUCUGGAUCCAGACACGGCUCAUCCCCAACUCAUCCUGUCUGAGAAUCGGAAAAGUGUGAGCUGGGGAAACACACGGCAGCAACUGCCCAGCAACUUUCAGAGAUUUGAUUCUUGGGGCUACGUGCUGUGCUGUGAGGGGUUCACCUCGGGGAGACAUUGCUGGGAGGUGGAAGUGGGGCCUGGGGGAUACUGGGCCGUGGGGGUGGCUAGAGAGAAUGUGGCCAGGGGAGAAAAAAUCCUCCGUAGCCCUGAUGACGGGAUCUGGGCUGUGGAGCUGUGGGGGAAUCAAUUCUGGGCUCUCACCUCCCAUGAAACCCCCCUGCCCCUGAGCCAGGUCCCCAAGAGGAUCCGGGUUUGUCUGGACUGUGACCAGGGGCAGGUGACCUUUAUCGAUGCUCAUAACAAGGCCCCGAUCUUCACUUUCCCGCCGGGAUCCAUCCCUGGGAAGAGAAUCCAACCCUGGCUCCGGGUGGGGUCGGGAACCCAGCUCAGACUGUGGCCCUGAGGGAUGCGAGGGUGCGGGUGGGGGCUCAGUGGGGGCCAGUGGCGGAUUAAUGAUUUUGCCGCCCCUAGGCCCAGAAAUAAUUGCUGCCCCAGGCCCUAUAUUAACUUGUUUUAGUCUUUUUACAAAUUUGUUUGAACUAAAAUAAAUCUAAAUAUCACUACUAUUCUCAACUAUUUUUUCUGUCUCACUAACUGAUUAAAAAAAAAUCUAUUUUGCACGUUUGCUAUCAUUUCAUUGUACCUUUCUUUCUUUUGUAUAGCAUUUUCUUUUAACUGAGAACCGCUUAAUUUCUUCCUUCCGGUCAUAUUAGUAAUGUUUAGGAUUCUCGCGAGUAUGUUUACUAAAUGGCGCCGCGCCGUCAUCGAUGGUUUCAAUACGUGUUAUGAUUGGUAGAAUCGUAGCGUCAAUGAUGCCGCGAUUACAAAAAUGCUGCUAUUAUAAAUUUGCCGCCCUAGGCCUAGGCCUUGUCAGCCUAGGCGAUAAUACGCCACUGGUUAGAGUGACCAGACAGCAAAUUUGAAAAAUCAG